rnacentral:siRNA from 1 species
UCACCGUCCCACAAUCUAAACAUA